rnacentral:rRNA from 1 species
UGGGGAAUAUUGGACAAUGGGGGAAACCCUGAUCCAGCAAUGCCGCGUGAGUGAUGAAGGCCUUCGGGUUGUAAAGCUCUUUUGCCUGCGACGAUAAUGACGGUAGCAGGAGAAUAAGCCCCGGCUAACUUCGUGCCAGCAGCCGCGGUAAUACGAAGGGGGCUAGCGUUGUUCGGAAUUACUGGGCGUAAAGGGCGCGUAGGCGGCCAUGUAAGUUAGAUGUGAAAGACCUGGGCUUAACCUGGGAAGUGCAUUUAAGACUGCGUGGCUCGAGGAUGAGAGAGGAAAGUGGAAUGACGAGUGUAGAGGUGAAAUUCGUAGAUAUUCGUUGGAACACCAGUGGCGAAGGCGACUUUCUGGCUCAUAACUGACGCUAAGGCGCGAAAGCGUGGGGAGCAAA